AUAGCGUAUAUUAAAGUUGUUGCAGUUAAAAAGCUCGUAGUUGGAUUUCAAGGGAAGCAACGUGGAAACACGUGAGCCCCCUACCAGUCUCAGACUGUUACUGUGAGAAAAUUAGAGUGUUUCAAGCAGGCUGUUGCAGGAAUACAUUAGCAUGGAAUAACGAAUGGGUCUAGAAUCUUGGUUAAUUCUAGAUUACGAUUAAUAGGGACAGUUGGGGGCAUUAGUAUUUAAUUGUCAGAGGUGAAAUUCUUGGAUUUAUUAAAGACUAACGUAUG
rnacentral:rRNA from 1 species